UGCGUAGGCGGGUCUCUAAGUCAGAGGUGAAAGCCUGGAGCUCAACUCCAGAACUGCCUUUGAUACUGGAAGUCUUGAGUAUGGCAGAGGUGAGUGGAACUGCGAGUGUAGAGGUGAAAUUCGUAGAUAUUCGCAAGAACACCAGUGGCGAGGGCGGCUCACUGGGCCAUUACUGACGCUGAGGCACGAAAGCGUGGGGAGCAAACA
rnacentral:rRNA from 1 species